UACGUAGGGUCCAAGCGUUAUCCGGAAUCACUGGGCGUAAAGAGCGCGUAGGCGGUCUGUUAAGUGUGAAGUGAAAUCUCUAGGGCUCAACCCAGAAACUGCUUUACAUACUGGCAGACUUGAGUGAUGAAGAGGUUUGUGGAAUUCCUGGUGUAGCGGUGAAAUGCGUUGAUAUCAGGAGGAACACCCAUGGCGAAGGCAGCAAACUGGUCAUCAACUGACGCUGAGGCGCGAAAGCGUGGGUAGCAAACAGG
rnacentral:rRNA from 1 species